rnacentral:misc_RNA from 1 species
AAGGAUCAUUAAUGAGUUGUAACGGGGUUUUGAUGCUGGCAGGCCAAUUCUUUUGGUAUGCAUGUGCUCGCUCCAACAAUCAUUUUCCACACACCCGUGCACGUUUUUGAGGGAGCUUCGAGUUUGAUUUGCCUCUUUGGGCGAUUUUCUUGCAUCCCCUCAAACUUCAUUAUACGCUGUUAACAAUGCUGAACGUGCUUUGUGCCGCAAGGCCUUAAACAUUAAUACAACUUUUAACAACGGAUCUCUUGGCUCUC